CAGUCGCCGCGGUAAUACGAAGGGUGCAAGCGUUACUCGGAAUUACUGGGCGUAAAGCGUGCGUAGGUGGUGGUCUAAGCCCGUUGUGAAAGCCCUGGGCUCAACCUGGGAAUUGCAGUGGAUACUGGGUCACUAGAGUGUGGUAGAGGAUAGUGGAAUUUCCGGUGUAGCAGUGAAAUGCGUAGAGAUCGGAAGGAACAUCUGUGGCGAAGGCGACUAUCUGGGCCAACACUGACACUGAGGCACGAAAGCGUGGGGAGCAAACAGGAUUAGAUACCCCCGUAGUCCCUGUCUCUUAUAC
rnacentral:rRNA from 1 species